GAUGAACGCUAGCGAUAGGCUUAACACAUGCAAGUCGAGGGACCGGCGCACGGGUGCGUAACGCGUAUGCAACUUGCCUCACUGAGGGGGAUAACCCGUCGAAAGACGGACUACUACCGCGUACUGUGAGAUAGGCAUGCGUCCCAUUAGCUAUGUGGUGAGGUAACGGCACACCAAGGCAACGAUGGGUAGGGGAACUGAGAGGUUGAACCCCCAAACUGGUACUGAGACACGGACCAGAAUGCUACGGGAGGCAGCAGUGAGGAAUAGUGGUGAAUGGGCGAGAGCCUGAAACAGCCAAGUCGCGUGAAGGAUGACUGGCUAUGGAUUGUAAACUUCUUUUGUAGGGGAAUAUGUACCCUACGAAUAAGCAUCGGCUAACUCCGUGCCAGCCGCCGCGGUAAUAC
rnacentral:rRNA from 1 species